AAAGUUGCGCCUUAGUUUCAAACGCGGACAUGUGAACAUUAGCUUAGUUUCAAAAUGAGACAUAUCCUAUCAUCUUAGUUUCAAAAACAGACAUAUCCUGGAUAUGUCUGUUUUUGAAACUAAGGCAAAACUUUGAGCACGUUUUUUACCCUUUUACAUACUAUAUUGAAAAUAACAUACCUCGGCAAUGAAAAGAGCGUUAAAAAUCAUAUAAGAAUCAAUAUCUGACUUGAUUUUUAUAGAAGUGGCGUUUGUCCAACUUUGUAACCAACCUCCUCACAUCAAUCAAUCAAUCAAUCAUUCAUUCAUCUUUCAUCAUUGAUGAUUCAUAUUUCAUUCAAGUGAUUCAUCAAUCAAUCACCAAAAUCGACGUAAAAAUGUGAGUAAUUAUUAAUUAAUUCGACCUCUCACAGUUACAGAGUACAAACAGAAAUGAUCAUUUCCAUUUUCCGGAGAAAUCAACAAGCCUUUAGAAUCCUCAAGCUCAAGAAGCUCAACAUGAUUUCUAUUUUGGAAGUUCUUGAAUGGCAAGUUUUGAAUUUCGCUUCUAUUUUCAAAUACACCAAUAUCAAUUAGCAAUCCAUCGCAGAUCUCAUGAGUAAUCCAAAAUACCUGGUAGUACACAGAAGGCUACAAUAUCCGUCAAAUUCCUAGCAACUAUAUAAUGUCCAGUUCUUCGAACACUGCGAGAUGAUAAUUUGGAUGUUUCUUAAAUCGAACUAGGGUACACCUAAGUAUUUUAUACACGUGUUCGGAAGACGAGGGCUGUGUACGAUAAAAAAGCAGCAAAGUUUUCAACUUGGCUCUCAGUCACGUAUCGGAGUCUGUUAUCUCUUCCAGUCGGAUUUCUUACUCAUUGCUCACACACCUGAACAAGUGGUUAUCAAAUGUCAUUAUACUGUCGAGUUCACCGUAGUACUUCGUACGUUUCGUCGAUGAAGAAAUUAACCUGUAGGUAAUCAGCUUAUGUAGUCUAAUUCUGAUCCUGGUAUGUUUACUCGUCGCAUUCUUGCAUUUGUUCUGCUGCAGUUAGCACUCGAACGCCAAAUGGGAGAUUAUCAAUGGUAUGAUGUUUUUAUGCUGCGUAAACGAAUCUGCCAGAUGAUUUGUAGCUAUAUAGCUAUGAUUUGAACGAACAGAAUCCAUCGAAUCAGCGUCAGCACAUCAGCAAUUUCAUUCACAGUGAUGGUGGUGUCGAUGGCGAAACACUGCAUCUGGUUCGGUGAUCAAUAGACGGAGUAUCAAUAUUCUGAUGACGAUUGGCCGGUCACAGUACCGUUGACAUCGUGUCGUAAAUGGAAAAUUCAGAAAAAUUAUGAGACACCGUACGAAUUAUUCUGACUCAGUAUUCAAGACUCAUGGAACAUUUCUGCAGCCUCGUCGACGACUAGGUUAGUAUCCUCUCUCGAAAGAUUACCUAAUACUCGAAUGGAUUUAUUUUUAAUACCCUUUCCCCCAUCGAACUCUUCAAAAAAACGAUUCGAACUGCCCAAAAAUACUUUACUCGCGUAGCGAAUCCCCUUCAUCAUUGAUUGUCCCUCUUCAAAACCUUGUUUCCCCAUACUGGAAAAAAGACUCUUACAUCGCAUCGCGCGAAUGAGAGCGAGAAAAAAAACACCUAUCUGUGAGUUUUAAAGAAAAACAAAAAAAAGAGUACGAAAAUUUUGGCUUGUUGGCGAAAAACAAAAAAAACGAAGACGAAAGCGAAUCUACUAUACCUACUAUAACAACUAGGAGAAGGGGAGGGGACGAGUCAGCCAGCGGAAUAUUUGCGCGCGAAGAAAGAAAAAGAAUGACGAAUAUGCGAGUUAGACAGGAAUAAUGUGAUUACGGUAUACGACAUUUCGACGAGUAGAAUGGGUCUCAGAUGUCGCUCCAGGGACAGAUAUAGUAUUUAUUUAGAAACACCCCUGUAAAAUUGCACGAAGGGAGGAUUCGUUGGUAGUAAUAGGCUUCUGUGCCGAGUA